UACGUAGGGUGCAAGCGUUGUCCGGAAUUAUUGGGCGUAAAGAGCUCGUAGGCGGUUUGUCGCGUCUGCUGUGAAAACCUAGGGCUUAACCCUGGGCCUGCAGUGGGUACGGGCAGACUAGAGUGCGGUAGGGGAGACUGGAAUUCCUGGUGUAGCGGUGAAAUGCGCAGAUAUCAGGAGGAACACCGAUGGCGAAGGCAGGUCUCUGGGCAUUAACUGACGCUGAGGAGCGAAAGCAUGGGGAGCGAACAGG
rnacentral:rRNA from 1 species